rnacentral:lncRNA from 1 species
UAGAUUGGAAAACCCUUCCUGUAGAAGGGAGGAUUUAAUUUGGAGCUUGAAGGAAACCAGGCAAGCCAGGAGGCAGACAUGAGGAAGGAGAGUAUAACAGGAAUCCUGAAGAAGAAAGUGUUAUGCACAUGGAAGGAGAUGCUUAAAGAAAAAUGAGUUUAAGAUCAUAACCAUGUUUGUCUGGGACUAUUCAAGAAAAGUGAACUGUUUGGAGAAGGCACCACGAAGAUGCCUCCACAGACCACAAGCUGCACCAGAAGAUCCAGAGUGAACUUUGGGAUGUGGUGAUUUAAACUGUGUGGGGUUGGAUGCAUUUGUUUUGUAUGUAUACUCUUAUGCCAAAGGGGACUUCCCCCUAACUGGCUUUCUGUCAAUGUACCUAGCAAUCAUUGGUUUUGUUCUUUUUUUUUUUGCCUUUUAUCCACAAAUUAUUGCAAUUUUUAAGUUGAUUAUGUUUCCAUGAUCCUUUUUGGGAAACUGGUUUCCCAAAAGGAUCAAGGGGGGUAUGUAUAAAUGGAGAUUUUGAACCACUGACUUCAUUCCCCAGAAGUCCUUAGUAUUUCCCAAAAUUCCCUAUAAUCUCUCCUGUGUCUCCCUCCACGUUGGUGAGAUCACGUUAUUGGUAUUUAAGUGGAUGUAUGCGCCUCCCAGGCUCUCUCUUUGACCUAUGAUGGGACUGAAUUCAGGCAGUUCAUUUGCUUUAGUUAUUAUUAAUAAAACUUUAUAAAAUAUAAUAUUUAGUUAUUGU